AUGACAUCUUGCAUCGGAAUUGGUCCACAGGGCGCCCAACCAGAACAAAGUAUAGUGUCUUCCUCCAACUCAAUGGCCAUGGAGAGGUCAUUGGCGUGCCUUGAUGGUCAGCCACACCUCCUCGGCCAGGUGGAUCUAUCUCUCGUUGCCUUUCUCCGUCUUUGUUGCACGCCGGUCACGGGGAUGGUAGAGGAGACGUCAUGGUGGGAAUUUUAUUUCGUGUCUUUUUUUCAUCUCGGGUUGGCGAAGGAGAGGAGAACAGUGGCAGCGGCGGCGGCGGAGGCGGAGGACAAGCAGAGAGAAGACGAUGUAGGCAUAGGCAAAGUGAAUCGUGUAAUGGGCCAGUGCACCCGCCCAGGCCCGAUCAACCGCAACAAGCCUGAAUAG
rnacentral:rRNA from 1 species